GAUGAAGAACGUAGCGAAAUGCGAUAAGUAAUGUGAAUUGCAGAAUUCAGUGAAUCAUCGAAUCUUUGAACGCACAUUGCGCCCGCCAGUAUUCUGGCGGGCAUGCCUGUUCGAGCGUCAUUUCAACCCUCAAGCCCCCGGGCUUGGUGUUGGGGAUCGGCGUGCCCUCGCGGCGCGCCGUCCCCUAAAUCUAGUGGCGGUCUCGCGGUAGCUUCCUCUGCGUAGUAGCAACACUCGCACUGGAUCGCAGCGCGGCCACGCCGUUAAACCCCCCACUUCUGAAAGUUUGACCUCGGAUCAGGUAGGAAUACCCGCUGAACUUAAGCAUAUCAAUAAGCGGAGGA
rnacentral:misc_RNA from 1 species